AUCCCUCAUCCCUCUGGUACCUGAACACCAGUUCCUGAUUUACCUGAUGGUAAAUCCACACCUUCACACAGAGCAGUCCCCCUAAAAACCAGCACAACCACUGACACGGAUGUUAAAUACACUUGCAGUGUUACAGCCAACAGUUGCACCAAGCACAGUACUUAAUACAGCACAGAAAGCCCCUAAACAGGACUUUUCCCCACUGACUUGAACACAUUACCCCAUGGCUGGCUGCAGAAUCCGGCCCACAGUUGGUAGGAAAUAUCUACAAACACAACAGGAUAUUGCUCUCACAAUUUGCUCUCCUCCUUUGAGAGUACAUAAAACGUGGAAAUCGCUAUCAGCUUCAUGCCUCUGCUGCCCCGUUCUCAGGGCUUCAUUAUUUCAUUGCCUGUGGGAAUGUCCUUUUAAUUUGAAAUGUUUGUCAUAGAACAUAGAAUCUUUAAGCAAACUUGCACAUGAAACACUUGACUUCGGUCUCUUUUUUCUCCCUGCUGUUUGGUGUGGACCAAGCUGAGGAAUUAAACUUCCACUACUUGGGAAUAAAGCUGAUGUAGCCACAAAUUAUUCAAUGCAAGGGGGGGGGGGGGAUUGCAGUGAAUAAUAAUCAGCCAUCUGCAGAGCUGGCUGGCUAAUAAAAAUGUGUUUCCAAAUAGUAAACAGGCCAAAAUUAAUAACAAAUGUUAUGUGCAGUGAAUUAUUCUAUUAGAUCUUCUCCCAACUUUAUGACAUUUUUCUUCUCUAAGCAUAGCAACUUAUCUGGAAUGGAUGGAUUUCCAAAUCCAUACCCACCCCAGCUGCAACGCUGCCAGAUCACUUUAUCUCACAUUGAUGAGUGUAAUUCCAGCUCGGUGUGUUUGGUGACUUCAAGAUACUGUAGCAUUGCAGGUAUUUCAAUGCUUCAACAUGUAAGUAGAUGCCUGGUGUGGUUUACAAAAGGCUAUAAGCAGGUUAGGCCCCUAACACCUCUAGGCAACUACUUACAUCAUUAGGAGCCUAAAUGCCUUUAUAAAUCUGUGCUCUGAUCCGCAGCUCAUUGAAGGCAAUGAAAAGACUUUGCUGACAUCAAUGGGCUUUGGAGUGGGCCCUGUAGAAGGAGCACGAUCAAUGCAAAGUGCUUUGACUUCUUUAUGCUGCUUAUUAUGAUACUUUUUUUCCUAGACACUUAGAACAAUGCUGCAUUUUCUGUUUGAAUAAAUGGUCAUUUCAAGCAGAGAAAACAAGAAAAGAGAAGUGAAAUCAGUGUGAAAGGCUGCAGGGGAAUGAUGUGUGUGGAACUGCUGCGAUUGCAUCGCAGCACUCACGUUCGCUGCCUUCUUUUCCUGGAAAUCCUGAACCUGACUCAUUGUUUCUGCCUGCUGGGGCUGCAGGCACCGGUGGCUCCAGCAGCCAGGAACAGCUCUCCGGAAGGAAGGUGUCUUACCUGGGAGAAAGGGCAAUAAAAUAGUGAAUAGUUUCAA